rnacentral:rRNA from 1 species
GAUGAACGCUAGCGGCAGGCUUAAUACAUGCAAGUCGUGGGGCAGCAUGAGUAGCAAUACUUGAUGGCGACCGGCAAACGGGUGCGGAACACGUACACAACCUUCCGAUAAGUGGGGAAUAGCCCAGAGAAAUGUGGAUUAAUACCCCGUAACAUAUAGAGUAGGCAUCUUAUUUAUAUUAUAGCUUCGGCGCUUAUUGAUGGGUGUGCGUCUGAUUAGGUAGUUGGCGGGGUAACGGCCCACCAAGCCUACGAUCAGUAGCUGAUGUGAGAGCAUGAUCAGCCACACGGGCACUGAGACACGGGCCCGACUCCUACGGGAGGCAGCAGUAAGGAAUAUUGGACAAUGGGCGAAAGCCUGAUCCAGCCAUGCCGCGUGAAGGAUUAAGGUCCUCUGGAUUGUAAACUUCUUUUAUUUGGGACGAAAAAAGGGAAUUCUUUCCCACUUGACGGUACCAAGUGAAUAAGCACCGGCUAACUCCGUGCCAGCCGCCGCGGUAA